ensembl:snRNA U6 U6 spliceosomal RNA
GUGCUUUGGCGGCACACAUAAUAAAAUUGGAACGAUGCAAAGAAUAUUAGCACGGCCCCUGUGCAAGGAUGACACGCAGAUUUGUAAAGUGUUCCAUAGUUUU